rnacentral:lncRNA from 1 species
UAGAGAGAAAGAGAGAAAAACAAAGAAGAAAACAGCUUUUUAAACAAAAAUAUGAAAAAAUAAAAAACGAAAUACUAAUACUAACAACACAAACAGCAUUUAUAUCAACAAUAGCAUAUCAACAACAACAGCUACAACAACAAUAGUAGAAGGACAAGAAAAGCACAUGAUUAGAACUACAGGUUUUUAUUUGGGUGCCGUAACUGAAUAUAUGAAUACUAGCACCAUUUUAAUGAGAAUCUAUCCUCGCUCCUCUACAUCAAGAAACCAUCUUAAAUUUCUAGUAGACACUGUAAAAUAUAAAACAUAAAUAAUGUGGAAAACCGCUCUGUUGACUUCCAGCUCAAGAUGAACUAGUAUGGAACAAUGCUGAAAUGUUCCACAGCCUUCUUAUCGACACGAUAUUUCAAAAGAAAAUAUUUCCGCUCAGCAUAAACUUUUUGAAUCCAAAACUCUUGGAGAGGGAAGUGAACACGUCUAAUCAUCCUCAACACAAAAUCAACAGCAACAAACGACAACUAUUACAAUAGUGAUAACGACUAAACUACAUUUGAACAAAAGAGGAUAGAAUAAAAUGCGAAUUUCCUUGAAAACAUAGCAACGUAGAAAUCCACAAAACAGAGAGUAGAAAUUGGAAAAGAGCUGAGAGUUGAGUAUUCAAUAGUAAGCAAACGUUAGAUGUGAUAGCAUAGAAUUGAAUUCCAGUUUCCGUAACUAAAUUCAAGAAGGCUAUAACGUUCAUGUGUAUUGCUUGAAACACGUCGAAUUUAUGCUACGAGGUUAAAAAAAUUCUUCUGGCUACCAUAGUAUGCCUUCGGGAAAUGUAGUAUCUGGCUGGACAUUUUUUCUCGCGUUUGGCAAUGAUGUGGAUAGACACAACAACACAGUUUCGAAGAAAAUACUCCGGUUGCCUUGCAGCAUUCUUCUAAACUGAAUCUGAUAUCAAGCUCUCUCU